CGCAACUUGAAACGUUUCAUUAUUUCAUUUACACUUUGCUAGUUUUCAUUUUCACUCUCUCUUCUUAGAAGAAAUCCUAAAACUUGAGCGCUGAAGAAGAUACCUAAAACCAAGGUGAAACAGGUGGAAGUGUCUCUAGCUCCUUCUAGGUGGAAGUGUAUCUUGCUCCUUCUCACUUGUUAAGAGACUCAAGGAAGAAAAGAGAAAAUUUCAGCGAUGAUUCUUACGAAGAUGAAGGAGAUAGAAGAUAAAUUUUUGGAAUCAAAGGUUAAAGACACCGUGCUUGUUUAUUUCAAUGAUUCUUAGAGAAAAGCCACUAAAGACGUUGGUGUCAUUGUCGAACUCAAUGUCAUUCCAAAAGUGAUGUAGCUACUGCAAGACUUUUUCAAUGGAAAUGAUCUAUGUUUGAGCAUCAAUCCUAAUGAGGUUGUUGCUUAUGAUGCAACUGUCGAGGCUACAUUGUUAACUGACGACAUAAAGUUUAUUCCAGACUUAGUGAUGUGAGAUAUUAUACCAUUGUCACUUGGUAUAAUGGUAAAAAGAGAUGUCAUGAAUGUAUUGAUUCCAAGAAAUUCUACGAUUCCUAUAAAGAAGAAACAAGUAUACCACACACGUGAAGAUGACCAAUCCGGGGUCUCCACUGAUGUCUUUAUGAAGUUCAAACUUUUUAUGCAUAAUUUUGAAGAAUUAUUUUGUUGUUUAGUUUGAUUGCAUACUUCUCUACGAUUAUGGU